rnacentral:rRNA from 1 species
UACAGGGGGUGCAAACGUUGCUCGGAAUCAUUGGGCGUAAAGCGCACGUAGGCGGUUCGUUAUGUCGGAUGUGAAAGCCCUUGGCUUAACCGAGGAAGUGCAUCCGAAACUGGCGAGCUAGAGUACUAAAGAGGAUCGCGGAAUUCCCGGUGUAGAGGUGAAAAUUCGUAGAUAUCGGGAGGAACACCGGUGGCGAAGGCAGCGAUCUGGGUAGAUACUGACGCUGAGGUGCGAAAGCGUGGGGAGCAAACAGG